UCUAUUAGCCUUUUGCUUGAACCAGCGGUUGGAGGAUUUUCCUCAUCAUGGUUUAUGUCCUGAAUAGUAAUUGUGACUGUGUUGUGGAAUGAUUCAAGCCUUCCAGAUCCAAUCAUGCCAGGAUCUAACUCACACCGGCAAACAGGACAAGUCUUGUGUAACUCAAACCAAAGAUCAAUGCAAUUUGAAUGAAAGGGAUGACGACAAACCGUUAUGAGCCUAACUGUAUCUUCAUCUGAAAACUCUGACAAGCAAAUAGCGCAUUCCGUCCCAUGAUUUUUCUUAGUUGCAGAUGAAUAGUGGAAUACAGGAAAGGACCGGAUGAUAAACGGGUCGAGGCCAGUAUUUUCAGGCGGAGUGGCCACAUGGAUUAGGUCACCGUAAGGUGUUCGUUGAAGGUUCCAAGUAGUAAAUAAUCGAUUCAGAAGAAACUGCCAUAAGAAAAGAGAGAAGAAUCCGGCGAAAAUUACAAAGAGAAGAACACCGGUCAAAACUACGGUGACAGGCAUGGAAACACUAGGGAAAACAGCAGUAGCUGGUAUUGAAUCUAUUGAUGUUGUUGACGACAUUUGAAGGUUGAUGAUUAGAGAAACCCCCAGAUUCUACCAGUUUCGUAGAUUGCUUGGGAUAUAAGAAAGGUUGUUCUUACAAAUCCUUGUGAGAAAAGGAGUAUUAUUGUUCAAGUUA